AUGCUCGCUUUGGCAGCAUAUAUACUAAAAUUGGAACGAUACAGAGAAGAUUAGCAUGGCCCCUGCACAAGAAUAAACCUUUCAAUGCAGCCUGUCUCACAGUGAAA